ACUGCCACUAUGAAGUUAACUCUACCCCAGACAAAACCAGAACACUAAUGGCCAAAAAAGAGAAAACUGUUUUUUCAUGCUUGCAGCAGACUGGCAAUGAAUUCAAAUUUGUAUGAUUAUCUAUUUCUUUUGGAGUCCAACAUUACCCUUGGCAGGAUCUUCAUGAUUAUGAUGUGGAAGAGGGGAAAAAAGAGUGCAUAAUGCUGAGGGAAAAGAAGAAAAUGGUCCUUGGAAAAACUGCUUUCUGAAAAGAAAAGUAGCUGAAGCCUCUAAUAAUUGACUUUGAGAACCCAGUGAGGUACCCAACACUGCUGCUAGCUCUCAGGAAGCUCUACAAUGUGGUGAAAAAUACCCAGGAGCAGAAAUCCUACUGAGAAGUUAACCCUCUGGAUCCCACCAAAAAAUUAACCUCCUGAAUGUGCAGCACAGAAGAGCUGGCAAAGGCUUCCAUGGAGAAAGAAGUGCCUGU